CAGGAAGCUAACUUCAUGCUUUCUCUCAUCUUUGUGUCUAACACCUUCACAAUACAGCACAUUGGGCUCUUUCAGUGGAAAAUAAAAAUCACUGUGCGAGAGGGGCUGAUUGCUGAUGAUUGAAGCUUAUCGAAAUAAAACCAGAACACAUGCAUGUUCUUAUUCAGAGAAGCACAUGAAGCAUUUCACUGCAGAAAUUAUUGACAGUCUUCUCUGUGCACAUCACCAUCCAUUAACUGGGGUUCUGGGAUAUACAGCAGCUCAACAUACAGGUUAAUACUUGGUAAAUUACAUCCUUUCCAAAAAGCAAGUCAUGCCAGACUGCACAGAGAAAAGGAAAGACACCAUGAAGAGAGGUCAGUAGUGGACGGCUCAUAGCCCUGAAAGUCCCAGUUCAAGCUUCCACAAUCAUCCUACACAAGAGCACUGCUUCUCACAGGACUGCCUCAGCCUGGCAGGAUUCAGUCUCCUGCUCUGAGGGAAAAACAGGAAGUCAAGGAUCAAGACCGAGUGCUCAACUGAGAUCAGAAAGGAGGACACACAGUGACUUGGCCAAAUCACUGGAGAUUCACACAGCAGAGCUCAGACGAGUGCUAUCAGCACAGCUGAGGAAGACAACAGUUAGGGUGCAAGGAUCCUGAAAGAGAAACAUUGGUUGUGUUUUUAUUCCUUGGGUAUAAGAAUCCUGAAAGAGAAAGGCAUCUGAACCUUGGAGGCAUGGGGUUCAUCUCAUCCUCAUCCAGCCUGUGAUGAUGGAGCUGUUUUCACCAGAAACGUGAGGAGACUCAUACCACUUGAGAACUAUUUGUUGGAGUGCCAGAUUAUUUAAGGGCCUUUGCAUGUUUCAAGUCCUCUUCUUAAAGUAAGAAUACUCUCCACAUUUAUAACAGCAACAAAAACACCAAUGUCAGCACAAAAUGCAAAAACGGAGGCACUUCUAUGUCAUAAUGAUACAUCAGAGUUCUGCUCAACUCUUUUUUAGAAAAAGAAGCUCAGACUUACACACAUCCACUUUCUUAAAUAAAUAAUUGUUCAAUGAAAGUUACCCUGGGAGGAUUGCUGUCUCCAGCUCCCAAGCACUGCUCAUCUGCUGACGGGGGGUACUCUGUGACUGUUACAGAAAUUGCUCUUAAAUGCAUAAAACACAGAAGAGAAUUUUUGGAAAAUCCCUUAUUAUUCAUUAAAGCAUUUUAGGGCCUCAUUAAUCCAGAUGGGUUAAUCGGUUGUUGAUUUGCCAGGUUGUUAAGCAUCCAUUGUCAGAUGCUGAUGGGGUGUGAGAAAAUAUAAUUCCGAUCUACCAAAGAGUCACCUGAAUGAGGCUAGCACUUCAUCAGGGAAGGCUGUAUCUUCCUCAGGGAAGGCUGUGUCUUCAUCAGGGAAGGCUGUAUCUUCCUCAGAGAAGGCUGUAGCUUCCUCAGAGAAGGGUGUAUCUUUACCAGGGAAGGCUAUGUCUUCAUCAGGGAAGGCUGUAUCUUCCUCAGAGAAGGCUGUAUCUUCACCAGGGAAGGCUGUAUCUUCAUUACGGAAGGCAGUAUCUUCUGGGGAUAAAUUAAGCUGGGCAUCCAGCUUCUUCUUUAAUUUCCAAAACUUCUCUGUAUCACAAAACAUUCCUCAUUCUUUGGGUGUUUUUUUUUUGUUUUUUUGUUUUUUUUUUUUUUGCCUACCUAAGGUCUGAAAUGAUGUCAGAAGCCAUUUUCAAAAGCUAGUUCGUAACAGGUCAACAGGUCAGUCGCACAUAUGCACUUAGGCACAGAAGCCCAACAUUUAAAGAUGUUUGUGUGUACGUGUCUGUAUACGUGUAUACACAUCUGUGUAUAUGUUUGUGUCUACACAUGUAUACACGUCUAGGCGUAUAUGUUUGUGUCUACACGUCUGUGUAUAUGUUUGUGUCUACAUGUGUCUAUGUGUUUGUCUAUAUGUCCAUAUGCGUAUAUUUGUGUGUGUCUGCGUGUGUGUGCAUGAGUUUGGCUUUGACUUUGUUUCAAAGUUCUUAGCUAGAGCCUGUCCACAUCUUCAGCCCUUCAGACACAAAUGGUAUUCAGGUUAUCAAGGGGAUUCUUUAGCCAGGGCUUAAAAACUCAACUUUCUUUCUUUCCAAACCUUGACUGACUGAGAGUCACAUAACAGCAGUGAGCACAGUGAGAAAAGUCCCUGGAUUAGAAGUUGGAAAAUAUGAUUCAGGGUCCUGGUUCUGUUUUAAGAGAGGAAGUGACCAUCAUUAG
rnacentral:lncRNA from 10 species